rfam:Schistosoma mattheei strain Denwood, Zambia genome assembly, scaffold: SMTD_scaffold0007130
ACCCUGCUGAGGAGUCCCACAAUAGGACGAAACGGUCUUUCACUGUUUCCAGGUU